AUUGAACGCUGGCGGCAUGCCUUACACAUGCAAGUCGAACGGUAACGGGCCUUCGGGUGCCGACGAGUGGCGAACGGGUGAGUAAUACAUCGGAACGUGCCCGAUCGUGGGGGAUAACGAGGCGAAAGCUUUGCUAAUACCGCAUACGAUCUACGGAUGAAAGCAGGGGACCGCAAGGCCUUGCGCGGACGGAGCGGCCGAUGGCAGAUUAGGUAGUUGGUGGGAUAAAAGCUUACCAAGCCGACGAUCUGUAGCUGGUCUGAGAGGAUGAACAGCCACACUGGGACGGAGACACGGCCCAGACUCCUACGGGAGGCAGCAGUGGGGAAUUUUGGACAAUGGGCGCAAGCCUGAUCCAGCCAUGCCGCGUGCAGGAUGAAGGCCUUCGGGUUGUAAACUGCUUUUGUACGGAACGAAAAGCCUUCUUUUAAUACAGGAGGGUCAUGACGGUACCGUAAGAAUAAGCACCGGCUAACUACGUG
rnacentral:rRNA from 1 species